rnacentral:lncRNA from 1 species
ACCAAAUCAAACCAAAAUUAGAUCAACCCAAUUAAAAUAGGUCUUAACCCAAUUAAGAACCUAAUUUAAUCAGAUUAAAUUAGAUUUAAAUCUGAUUUAAUUUUCUAAUCAAAUUAGAAAUUAGAUUGACCCAAGUCCUAGUUGAACUAGGACUAGUUUUUUCUUGCACAUGACUUAUCCAAUAAACCAAUUGGACUUGAUCCAAUCAAGCCCAAAUCAAAUCUAAUUAAAUCAUAUUUAAUUAGACUUAAUCUCAGCCCAUUGGCUUAAUCAAAUUAAGCCAAUUAGCAAUCGAAUUGCUAAUCGAUCCUCCUGCAACACUUGCACUGGGUUAAAUGUCAAU